rnacentral:lncRNA from 1 species
UAACGGACGAUUUGUUAUCGGUCAAAAGUUUCUUGGAUUAGCCACCCGAGUCGGGCGCUACAAUCGGGCAGAAACGAGGCAAACUGGGGGUGACGCAAGAUUUUCAGAUCUCCAGUCGAGCUCUAGACGUGGCGACGUUCAGAAAUGCUCGAGAAAGUUAGAUAGAUAUCGGAACGAAAGAGUAUUUGAACAAUAUUGAAAGAUUCUGUGAAUGUAACCACGGCUCUCUGUACUGUGAACCCGUUGAUUCGGUGACGUCAAAGGUCCUUGGUGACCUGAUUCCUGAUCGGAGGCGUCAUUGGCUGUCGGUGUCUCUGUAGUGUCUCGGGACAAUGAUUAUGCAAAGUAAUAAAGAUGCUCGACGAUAUUUUUCUAACCAAAAUGGAUUUGAGUGACAACAAUUCAGAAUGAGUUGCUCAUCCUUCAAUUUCUAUUUAAUUUGUAACUGUGAAAACGUACGUCCUUCUCUACGUCGCUGUGCCGGGGUGAUUGGUCCGACUUACAAUUGGCUAGUUUUUACUAGUUAAAUACUACGUCACAUUGCAAUAUCCUUUGCUGCUGGAAAAGACAAGUGAGAGUGCCUUCAGGCAAUUCAUUGAUUAGAAAUACCUGUACGGUGUCGACGUUAAAUACACUGGAAAGUCGUGUGAAAUUCUUACUUUUUUCCUUUUCGAGGACCUUACUGAAUACGGCUGCACUGAUUUCUCCUGUGUUUCGUGUUGCCUGGUUUGAUCAGCUUCGUAAUAUUUAGUUCCUUUCGUGCCUGCCGGAAGUCUUUCUUCCCCUCGCACGUCGCAGCGUCAGAAUCCCUGUUUUUAGGGUACAUCAAAUCCGAAGAUUUCUCUGGUUUAUUCUUGGAAAACAAUUCGAAAAGGAAGACCACAGAAGCGACGGUCAGUCCGACGGUCAACAUGACGAAACCGGAAGUCAGCGGAGUCAGGGCCAAGGGUAUUGUUGUUCCGUUAUUCUUGUCGUGCUCGACCAAAACCUCCCUCAAACUGGAGCUAGCCCGACGAUGAAUGACGUCCUUGAGGUAAAAGGAUUUGAAGCCAGUCUCUAUGGCCCGCAGCAUCAUCUACACUGACAAUGGUACUAAUGAAAAUGACGAUGAAAUAUACGGACAGAUUACUUGA